ensembl:rRNA 5S_rRNA 5S ribosomal RNA
GUCCGCGGCCAUCGCCACCCUGAACGCGCCCGACCCCGUCUGACCUCGCAAGCUACGCAGCGUCGGGCCUGGUUGGUCCUUGGAUGGGAGGCCACCCAGGAAGCCCAGGUGCUGUAGGCG